rnacentral:rRNA from 1 species
AGAGUUUGAUCAUGGCUCAGGACGAACGCUGGCGGCGCGCCUAACACAUGCAAGUCGAACGAGCGAGAGAGAGCUUGCUUUCUCGAGCGAGUGGCGAACGGGUGAGUAACGCGUGAGGAACCUGCCUCAAAGAGGGGGAUAACGUUUUGAAAAGAACGCUAAUACCGCAUAAAAUAUCGGAACCGCAUGAUUCUGAUAUCAAAGGAGCAAUCCGCUGUGAGAUGGGCUCGCGUCCGAUUAGUUAGUUGGUGAGGUAACGGCUCACCAAGACUACGAUCGGUAGCCGGACUGAGAGGUUGAUCGGCCACAUUGGGACUGAGACACGGCCCAG